rnacentral:lncRNA from 1 species
UCUUGUUUGAAUGUUAUUUCUUUGUGAUAAUAGGAAGCAGACCUUUCCCUUUUACUUAUUAAUGGCAAGAACGUAUCUACAAAAGGAUCUUUAGUUUAAAUAUAAAUGUAAUCAAAAAGAAAAAAAGGUCACUGAUGAAUAGCAAGAAUGUGAGAGAAUAAAAUAUACAAUAGUGAUCCACCACCAUCGCAUGGUCAUAAAUUCUUCAUACUUUAAUGUGAACAGUAACUCCACCUAUAAUAGUCUAAUUAUUUGUUGUAAUCUAUCUCCAUCUUUUGUGUGAAGUCCAUGUUUAUUGAAACAUUUUUGGGGAUAUAUCUCACCCAAUAUUUAUCUUAUGUUUUUGUAUGUGGGAUAAUCAUAAUUCCUAGCUAUUAUUUUAUUAUUAUAUAGAAUUUAGGACUGUGCACUCUACUUGAUUGUAAUUCAUGGCAUGCUGAAAUUUAGUCUUGUUAAAUAACCUCUGUGAUGAAUUGCUCAGUGCUGUUUCUGGGUAGAGGAACAGAAGACUUGGAGUCAAUUGGAUUUUUACUGUAAACUUGAGAAAAGCUCAGCUUCUAAUAGAAGAAUAACUACGACUGGAGUAUUUCAAUGUGGCUAACAGUACAUUUAAGACAAAUUAGUUAUUUUCAGUCCUGUCUAUCAUAAGGAAUUCUACAUGACAGCUGGCUGUUGAGGCAUAAAUUGGCAUUCUUUGGUGUAACUGAGACGGCCCUUCCCUUCUUCCAGUCUUUGCAGUCCCUCUGCUAAUCUGACAGCUCAACAAAGGUGACCGGUGUCUUUGGUUUUGAAAAGAGUUCAGGUGAACUAAGCCCAACAGCUGUGAGUUUUCUCCCAUGAACAUCUGGCACUCGUUGUGGACCUCUAAACAUUCAAAGUCAAAGGAUUCCAUCUACCUUGUCUCAUCCUCAUAGCAUGGAGGCCAAAGAGAUUACAGUUUGUUCUGGACUUAGCUGCAGAAGGGGUAUGUUCUUGUUGGGAACACUGGGAAGGAAGAAUAAGAGAGGGGGACUUGUUAUCUGUGAAUCAAGUAUGCAGUCACCUGGAGGCCUGGGUCUCUUCCAUGAAUUUCUGCACCAGGGAUUCUAUGAACUGCACGGCCAAGUGUAA